CAGUGCUUAAAGCUGAAUUAACAUGAUGAUUUUAAAUUUGUAUUGUUUAUUUCUUGUCAUUGCGACUUUGACGCAGCUGUUGUCAUGACAACAGAUAACAAAACAUGUUUUGUUGAAGGAUUAUUGAUGAAUAAUUUUCCACAAAAAAUUGGAUUUUAACCACGAUAGGAAAAUGAGAACCUGCGCCUAUCCGUUUAAACCGAUUGUAGAAUUUAUGGAAAGAUAUGGCGAUCUGAGUAUGCCCACUGAAGGGCCCCAAGAAAGAGCCAACAAUAGUCAACGGUGGGUGGAACUAACGGACACGCGAACGUGAAAUGCUGAUGCCACCGGCGACACCAAAACUACUGAGAAAUUGAGAAAAGUGUGGAGUGACUUUAAGCAGCAAGAAGAAGGCAACUCGCAUACACAGAGCUGCCAAGGGAACACUGGACUGGUGGCGGUCCAGGUUCUUCCCUGAAGCCAAAGGAUUUAGAGCAGAGUGCUUGUAA